rnacentral:rRNA from 1 species
UACGUAGGGGGCAAGCGUUGUCCGGAUUUAUUGGGCGUAAAGAGCGUGUAGGCGGCCAUGCAGGUCCGUUGUGAAAACCCGAGGCUCAACCUCGGGCCUGCAGUGGGUACGGGCAGACUAGAGUGCGGUAGGGGAGAUUGGAAUUCCUGGUGUAGCGGUGGAAUGCGCAGAUAUCAGGAGGAACACCGAUGGCGAAGGCAGAUCUCUGGGCCGUAACUGACGCUGAGGAGCGAAAGCAUGGGGAGCGAACAGG